GCUCCUUGGUGAAUCAUAAUAACUUAACGAAUCGCAUGGCCUUGCGCCGGCGAUGGUUCAUUCAAAUUUCUGCCCUAUCAACUUUCGAUGGUAGGAUAGUGGCCUACCAUGGUGGCAACGGGUAACGGGGAAUUAGGGUUCGAUUCCGGAGAGGGAGCCUGAGAAACGGCUACCACAUCCAAGGAAGGCAGCAGGCGCGCAAAUUACCCAAUCCCGAUACGGGGAGGUAGUGACAAUAAAUACUGAUACGGGGCUCUUUUGGGUCUCGUAAUUGGAAUGAGAACAAUUUAAAUCCCUUAACGAGGAACAAUUGGAGGGCAAGUCUGGUGCCAGCAGCCGCGGUAAUUCCAGCUCCAAUAGCGUAUAUUAAAGUUGUUGCAGUUAAAAAGCUCGUAGUUGAACCUUGGGUCUGGCUGGCCGGUCCGCCUCACCGCGAGUACUGGUCCGGCUGGACCUUUCCUUCUGGGGAACCUCAUGGCCUUCACUGGCUGUGGGGGGAACCAGGACUUUUACUGUGAAAAAAUUAGAGUGUUCAAAGCAGGCCUUUGCUCGAAUACAUUAGCAUGGAAUAAUAGAAUAGGACGUGCGGUUCUAUUUUGGUGGUUUCUAGGACCGCCGUUAAUGAUUAAUAGGGAUAGUCGGGGGCGUCAAAUAUAUUCCGAUCUCAGAGUGAAGAAAAGUUGGAUUUGCUGAAGACUAACUACUGCGAAUCGCCAAGGAUGUUUUCCCCAACCGAGUAACGAAAGUUAGGGGGUGGAAGACAAAGACACCAUCACAUCCGAGGAGGAGAAGAACGCAUUUAGCACAAGACAGUUUUAGAUGUACUCUCAACCAAAAUACACGAAAAAGUUUUUACCACCAACGGGGA
rnacentral:rRNA from 1 species